rnacentral:rRNA from 1 species
AAUCAACGCUGGCGGCGUGCCUCAGACAUGCAAGUCGAACGAUUAAAGCUCUCUUCGGAGAGUGUAUAGAGUGGCGCACGGGUGAGUAACACGUAAGUAAUCUACCUUUGAGUGGGGAAUAACCCGGGGAAACCCGAGCUAAUACCGCAUAAUGCAGCGGCAUCGCAAGAUGACAGUUGUUAAAGGAGCAAUCCGCUUAAAGAGGAGCUUGCGGCAGAUAGCUAGUUGGUAAGGUAAUGGCUUACCAAGGCUACGAUCUGUAUCCGGUCUAAGAGGACGGUCGGACACACUGACACUGAAUAACGGGUCAGACUCCUACGGGAGGCAGCAGUCGGGAAUUUUGGGCAA